rnacentral:snRNA from 1 species
UGUAAAAACCUUAAAUACAACU